AAAAGAAAGGCCUUACAUAUUUAUUACUGAAUCCAGCCAACCAACGUGUUCAUAACAGAUUCAGAGAGGAAAACACGUCGAAAUCUCCAGAUAGUGGUGACAUUUUCAGCUUGAUAUGGUAACAUGAUCGUGACCUUCAGACAGCAUAAAUAUGUGUGCCAUCUCAUGUGCAAUUCCUUAUAGACCCAGCUUGGUUCUUCUCCAAUGUCUCCUUUUGGAGUUGUACC
rnacentral:lncRNA from 1 species